AGACCCAGGCGGGAGGCGCGGAAGCAUACAGUCUGCGGGGACAAGGACUGAACGGGGUAGUGGGAGCCAGGUGCCGAAGGGCUGGGGCUAGGGUGGCGGCGCGCAGGGGGCGCGCCUGGGCGGGGAGUGGGCUGGCGUCUCCUUACCUGGCCUUCGGUGGAGCAUGCUGCUGCGGGCUGGGGGCGGGGUGGGCGCUGCGUCCCCAGGGGUUGACUCCGCAGCGCCUUCACUUCGGGGGCAGCAAGGCGCGCGCUGCAGAGCCGGGAGUUGCCAAACUUGCCAUGUCCAGAGCGCGGAGGCAGCCUGGGCCACGCGCUCACCGCAGCCCGGGCACCUCGCGCUCCUCCGCUUUGUUGUGUUCCGCCGCCAGUCCCCCUGCGCCUGCCUGCCAGUGUCCCCGAGCCCUCUCCUGCCGCGGGACGUUUCACUGGCGCUCAGGGAGGCCCCUCGGGUGGGCAGUGCCACUUUCCUCCUGGAGGCGCGCGUUAAAGAUCUGCCUGGGAGCGCCCGGCGGGCGGCUCGGCUUGCGCUCUGAUGAGGAGGCUGGGGCCCAUCGAUUCCCACCCCCUACCCACUCCCCCUCCCCUCCCCUCCGCCGGGCCCCCCCAUCAGAAGCUGCUUAGGAUCGGCGCUGUCAAAUCCAGCCCAUCUGCUGCAAUCAUAAUCAGUCUCAACCGAACGGUUCUGACAAAUCUCCGCCUGGAGCUGGAGUUGGAGAAGCUGGAGAGUCCCUGGUUCCCUUCACGCCCCCACCCCCAGCCUCAGCUCUGUCUGGGUGGAACGAAUGUCUGCUAAUGAACUAAACAAACAGGUCUCUUAAUCUUAUCAUGGAGCUGACCCAGAGACUGGCACAGAUAUCCAAAGUAUCAUAAUUGGCAGGUCAGAAUUAAAACUACAUACAUCAUGGUGACUUUAUAGCUGAGGCAAAGUGGAGCUCAAGUGUUACUUUCCCAGUAAGCAAAUCAUAAUGAAGUAUCAUGCUGGUGACUAAUUUAACUAACAUUGUCCAGGAAAUUGCUGUUGUCCAGGAAGAGAAGAGUUGAGCCGAGUGUCAACUACUAGGCUUCUGGCACCAUCCUGCACAAGAAAUUGGAGCAUAAGGGACAUUUCCACAUUCUAACUUUACAUGAAGACUCAGGACUUUGAAAGCCCAUGAGAAAGUUUUCAUAAGGAUUUAUCCACAAUUUCUUCUUUGAUUUGCUCAGAUGUGAAGCAGGAAACCUUCCAGACAUCCUGAACCUCUGAACUUUUUGUGGAUUGCCCAUCAACACAGGCAAACAUUCAUGAAGCAAUUCAAAAAUCUCUUCUCACUGCAUUAUAAGCAUGUCCUUACGUUAUUCAUAUAUCAAGAGCAUGCCCAUUCCCAACCCACAAUGGAAUGUGAGCCUAAUUACAUGUUCCUUUGGAAUAAGAUCUCACCAGCCCAGGAGUGUCAGAAACCCUCUAUCAUAUAUACGUAUCUUGUUUCCAAAAUGAUCUUCCCAAGCCACCCUAACAGGCCCCCUUCAGAAUGCUUCCUGCUGACAAGUGAAUCUGCUUUUUGCCUUUCACCCAAUCUCAGCUCAUGCUUUCUCUGUGAAAAUAUCACAGACCACAUCUGACAGUGGUCCAGCUAAUUAAUGUACUCCAAUGUCUAGCAAGCAUUUGACAGGAAAAAUAAUCUAUACAGUAUUUAUUGCAAAAUCUUCACCAAUGUGACAAAGAUGAAUGUAAACUUUACAUAAUCAUUUUUCAUUUGUUAUCCAAAGUUGAAAGUGAUUUUCAAAUGCUAACUUUAAAAUUAUGAUGAGGAAGAUAACAGCUCUGCUUUAAAACUGCUUGGCAAUGGAAUUUCUAUAGUAUAAUGGUUUAGCAAUGAGCUAGAAAAAUAAACUCUCUUGCUAAUGUAGUAAAUGGGCCAGAAAUAAACUUCUCAGGGAUUUGGGUGGUGGGGUGGGGUGAGGGAGGGGCACACAGAGGGGAUAGUGGAAUUGGAUUUCUGGAAUAAAUGAUCUGAAACCCUUAGCACACUAUAUCUUCAAAAAGCAAUGUCUUCCUUUAUAUAAUGCACGUAUCACCAUCACGAUACGAGAGCAACUCGAAGAAUCUUAACGUAUACCACGGUAAACACCUACGGCACCCAACUCAGUCUACAGCAGGACACCCAAAAGUUAAAUUCACUUUGGCUGUGGCUGUGCUCCAGGUACAUAUUUUCUCAUGAGCUUUGUUUCUUUGUUCUAGAACCAUCCUUCCCAAUAUUCCUUAACAUUGAAAUUAUACAUGUUAAAUUAAUUAUUGUUCAUUUAACUGAUGAGCUGAAACUCACGUCCUUCCUUUUGAAAGCUAAAGUAAUCUUCUAAUAAAAGGUCAGGAAUUAUCAAAUUUACUUGUAAUUAUUACUAAUUCUUCUGUGACUUCUUUUUUUUUUUUUUGAGGUGGAGUCUUGCUCUGUCGCCCAGGCUGGAGUGCAGUGGCACGAUCUCGGCUCAUUGCAAGCUCCACCUUCUGGGUUCACACCAUUCUCCUGCCUCAGUCUCCUCAGCAGCUGGGAUUACAGGCGCCCACUACCAUGCCAGGCUAAUUUUUUUUGUAUUUUUUAGUAGAGACGGGGUUUCACUGUUAACCAGGAUGGUCUCGAUCUCCUAACCUCGUGAUCCGCCUGCCUCGGCCUCCCAAAGUGCUGGGAUUACAGGCGUGAGACACCACGCCCGGCCUCUUCUGUGACUUCUUAACCACAAAUAAAGUCUUGGCCUUGGAAAAAGGAAGAUCUGAAACAGAACAAGGCAAUUAAAAAGUGGGUGGAGGAAGUAUAGGAGUAGUGGAGAAAAAAGAAAGGAAUGGAUUUUCUAAAUUUAAAACACUCUUUGCCCUUUCCUGAAAUAAUGACUUAUAUUCUUUGAGUUCACAAGAGAGUAAUUGGAUAUGCAUGAUGCAAUGCUGGAAUUUUAGGUAUUUUGCCUAAAGGUUAUUAACAAUUAGUACCACUAGGGGAAAAAUCAUAAAGUUAGUUAGAAUAACAACCCUCUCUCAAAGGAUAAUGAAAACUGGACUUGUAAUCUGGUCAUAAUAAAAAUAUAUUAUGUUUAUAUUGGAGCCUCACAUGUCAAGAGGAAAACUCACAAACUAGAAUAUGUCCAACAGGUGGCCAUGACUAAAUGAAGACUGAAAAACAAGUUGUAUGAGGACCAAUGAAGGAAUCUUCCUUUGAAGCAGUAAAGACUGCGAAAAAAAACAUGAAAAACUGUCUUUAGAUAAAUCCUUUAACAGGAAUGGUACACAGAACAGGGAGAUGUUAUAAGUGGAGCUACUGAUGACAGCAUUAGAGCCAAAGGGUGAAAGGCAGAUGUUGAGUCAUUCAAUAGAAGAGGUGUCUGAUCUCUUCCUAUCCAAUGUAGCAGAAUCCAUCCCAUACUAUAUCUGAAAGAUGACCACUUUGCUUUGACAUUUGCAGUGGUACAGAACUCACUAUCUCAAGAAUACCUUCCUCGGGAUGGUAAUAAGUAUGAGAAAUGCCCUUUCUAGUUCUAAAUUUCUUCUCCACAAGACAACUCAUUCCAUUUUCAAACAAUUAUUAGAUCUAUCCAUCUCUUAGUCUUCUAUUUGUCAAGCAAACAUCUCCAAUUCCUCACAUCAUUAUUAAUUCAGUAUUGUGAACCUUGUACCAUUUUAGUCACCAGCUUUGUGGAUAAUCUUUGGAUUGUAGUGUCUGUAACUGACAUCCAAAUUAAGUGCUCUUGAUAUGGUCUAACUAGCAACUGACCCCAUCCAUAUUUCUAUUUCCAAAGCAGAGAAACAAGAAAAUCAAUUGGCCAAUAUAACUGAAUAAAUCCAGGUAAAUACAUAUUUGGCUUUCAAUUAGUCAGGAAGUCUGAAUUUCUAGAGGAUAUUGAAGAUACAGCAUCAGACAAUGCAUUUGUCUGAUUGCUGACAACUUUUAAUUUCCCUGUUCAAGAAAAUCGAUCAAUGUGUGUUAGCUAAACACCUGUUAUGUUCAACCCUGUGUUAGUCAUCAUUUGAUGUGUAACAGAAGUGUAAGGCCAGGUACCUACAAUAUUUGUAGAGUCAAUACUAAGGUACAUGAAAUAAUUUUAGAGUUUUUACAAGAUAUACAUCAUUAUGUAUACUUAUAUGAAAUAGUCUCAAGUUCAGCAGGGAAGACUGGGCCCAGGUGGGCUGAGGAAUGCAUGUGAAGAGGUAGGGAGGCAGGAAACUUGAAGGAUGGUUAGGGCUUGUCUAUUUGGAAUGGAGAGAGAGGCCACAAAGGAGUGCGUGUGUAGAAAUAAUGAGUAAUAAAGGAGGUCAAGGUUAGUAGGGACGUGUGUGGUUACAAAUAGAAAUAUUUGGAUUUGUACCAUAACAUUUCUAUUACAACUUCCUUUCUCCCAUUCCAAACAUGCUUGGUUUUACAGAAAAAACUUCCAGGACUCAGAUUUCCAUGGGUAUUAGUUUGCAAACUAAUCCCUGAUGAGAUAUUAUGAGGAGCUAAGAGAGUGAUGCUAGAAUUCUCAAGUGGCAAUGGCAAAUUUCAGGGCUGACUUCCUGGAUAACCAAUUCUUUUUUUUUAUUCUGAGCAUGGGAAUUUCAGUUCAUCCAGCAGAAGAAAUGUUUUUUGAUAGAUGUGACUUUUGGUACAUUUUGAAUUAUGUCAUCUUGGGGACAAAUGGUCCCAAAAGCCAAGGUCCUAAAUGUGUACAUCUGAUCCAACUCUAAGAACUUUUGCUCAGUUGUGACGUCAAAGAAUUUCUAUUUUAGAGUGGUCUUCUGCAACUGAUACCAUCCAUAUUUCUGUCUCCAAAGCAGAGAAACAAGAAAAUCAAUUUGCCAAUAUAACUGAAUAAAUCCAGGUAAAUACAUAUUUGGCUUUCAAUUAGCCAGGGAGUCUGAAUUUCUAGAGAAUAUUGAAGAGACAGCGUCAGACAAUGCAAUUUCCUUUAAUAGGGACCAUAACCUCAGAGUUGCUGCUCUGUUUUUUAAUAUUGUACAAUUAACUUUUUUUUUUUUUGCAGCACACUCUGCUUAUAGCUUCUGUGGAAACUUAAACAUUAUUCAAUAGAAUAAUUUCCUGGAAAAUCUUUUGAAAGUGGUCACAGCCCUGACCUUGCUCUGGUGCCCUGGGUCCACCAGCAUGCUGUUUCAUUACCUCAGGAAGGUUUGGUGCCAAGAGACAGUCCAAGAGUUAGUGCAUAAAGAAAGCUAGGUUCAUAAAAGAAUUAAUAUCUGCCUUCUUUCAAGGAGGGAAACUGCCACUUCCAACCAUUUUAUGCAUCUAUCACUUCUCUUCUAUCUUCAUCAUUCAACCCUUCAACUGGCCUACCUAGAUGACAGGUAAAAAUUAUAGAUUUUUAACUCUUAAGAAAUAACUGCCGAAGUCAUUUCUUCCAAACCAUUCUCAUUACCAAUGGGAAACUCAGGCCCAGAAAGCCUAAAUGACUUUUGCAAGACCACAGAGUAAGUAGCAGAGUCAGGACUUAAACUCCACAUUGCAGAAGAUGAACCAGGGAUGAUAUUUUUAAAACUUAGCAAUGGUAUGACAAAAUCACCAAACAGUUAGAAUAGAGCCUCUGAUUGUACUGGUGUGCCAUUAAAUACCAGCCCCAACUGGAUUACAGUGUAUAUCAGUAAUACUUUAAGGGAUAAAGAGAAAAAAUGUGCCACUUACUAUCAAGCUAUUUAAAGGAGCUAGGUAAUAAAAUAAUCAUAAUUUAUUUUUACUGUUGGUUCUUCCCUUUUUCAUCUUUUUGCCUUUUUUUUCCAUUGUCUUUCUUGUUACUAAUCCUGUGAAAAUUCACCCUCUGUUUGGCAGCCCGGGUCAUUGUUAUUUGUGCUAAGCUCCUAUAUUAUUAGUCUGUUAUCAUAUUGCCAUAAAAAAACUACUUGAAGCCAGGCGAGGUGGCUCAUGUCUGUAAUCCUAGCACUUUGGGAGGCCGAGGCAGGCAGAUCACUUGAGGUCAGGGGUUUGAAACCCGACUGGCCAACAUGGUGGAACCCUGUCUCUACUAAAAGUACAAAAAUUAGCUGGAAAUUGCUUGAACCCAGGAGGUGAAGGUUGCAGUGGGCCGAGAUCGUGCCACUACACUCCAGCCUGGGCAACAGAACAAGAGUCCGUCUCCAAAAAAAAUAAAAACAAACAAACAAACAAACAAACAAAAAAAAACAGCACAACUACUUGAGACUGGGUGAUUUAUACAGAAAAAAACAUUUUAUUGAUUCACAGUUCCAUAGGCUGUAUAGGAAGCAUGGGUGGGGAGGCCUCAGGAAACUUGCAAUCAUGGUGGAAGCCAAAGCAGGCACAUCUUACAUGGCCAGAGGAAGAAGCAAGCAAAGGUGGAGGUGCUACACACUUUUCAACCACCAGAUCUCAUGAGAACUCACGCACUAUCACGAGAACAGCAAGGGGGAAAUUCACCUUCAUGAUCCAGUCACCUCCCACUGGGCCCCUCCUCCAAUUCUGGGGAUUAUAAUUCCACAUGAGAUUUGGGCAGGGACACAAAUCCAAACCAUAUAAGCUCCAUUCUGCAUUCAAGUGUAUGUUGGUCUUGCCAAAAUUAUCAAUACCUUCUCCGUAAAUACCACUUUCAAGCCUUGUAGGUUAAGCCCUGAUUAUGUUUGUAAAAGUAGCUUGAUCUACAUGUCUACAAUUGUUCUCUAAUUUGCUUUAUCCAAAUGGAAAAAAAAACACACAAUAUUUUAGGCCUUGAUUUUCAUCAUGAAUUUUUAAAAAUCUAAAAUUGCCUCUUCAUUGUGUUAUUUCAAAAUCAUGAGAUAUCCUUUCAUUGCUUCUACUGAUAAGGUUGUUUGUAACUCAAAAUCAUAAUUGGUAGAUCAACAGAAUAAAAUUAUGAGAUACAAAUAUACAUUUGAUUAUUAUUGCUACUGGUUAGAGCCUUCACUAUGACAUGCAGUGACAUGCUCACAGAAAUGACAAGCCCUAAAACUUCUUGCUUUUUGGUUAAACACUUUAUGAUUAAACAUUUCAAUCUUUAAACUUUCUAAUAGUAUCUUGAAAUUGUGUAUCUCAUUUUAACAUUUUUAAGCCACUUAGACAAAUGACUUUUUGCCAUGCUUGCUUGACUUUUUUUCUUGCAUGGACUUACAGAUAAAGGUGGUCUCAUCCCUAAUGAACAUAUGAGGCCACAAGAAUUUCUCCUUUUUUUUUUUUUUUUUUUUUGUUGUUGUUGUUGUUUAUUUUUGAUACAGGGUCUUGCUCUGUCACCCAGGCUGGAGUACAGUGGCAGGAACAAAGCUCACUGCAGCCUCAGAGUCCUGGACUCAAACCAUACUCCCACCUCAGCCUCCUGAGUAGCUGAGACCCAGGAGCACUCACCACUUCCAGCUAAUUUUUUGUAGAGACAGGAUCUUAAACUCCUGGGUUCAAGCAGACUGCCCACCUCUGUCUCCCAUGUGCUGUGAUUACAGGAGUGAGCCACCAUGCUUGGACAGUUUCUCCUCUUGAAUCAUCAACAGUCCCUGUAAAGUCUCAAGAAAAGUGUUUGGAGUAUCCAUAAUGUGCUAAGUCACUUAGGAACAAAGUUACACAAAACACAUCCCCAGUUUUUGUCUCUAUGCUUUCAAGAUGGGUGAAACUUUAUGUUUGAAGUUUCAUGUUUUAUGCCAAGCAUGAUGAGAGAUAGAGGAAUGGGAAGACUUGGUCUUACAGGUUAAAGAUGUGAAACAUACAAAACAUGCUCUCAUGAGAUAAUUAGACAAACAAGUCAGUGUGAUUGAGAGCAACAUGCUGGGAACUGGUUUAGAGGCUCCUGGAGGUAAGGACAGAGUCACUGUUACAUGUUUGGGGUAUUUUGCUGAAGCAUCGCAGAGGCAGCAUUGUCCUCGUCAACAGGAGAUGGGGCGGGAGGAAAGGAGAGCAGAGGGCUGCAACCAAAGCAACCCAGGGUCCAGGUGACAGAUCUCCCCUAUUGGUAAAAUGUGAUUCAUGUGGUAGCACCGCACUGGGAGCUUCAGUACCUUUAACUUUCUCUCUCAGGCUUUUACACCUGGUGAACGUCUAGAAUAACUGCCACAGAAAAUACAUCUAUGACAUUUAAUCACUGAGUGUUCGAGAGAAGGCAAAGCCCGGACACCAAGUAAGCCAGGUACCCCUGAGGCAAACUCCAGAGGCUUCCCUGGGCCGUGAAACCAGCCAAAGAAGGCAAAAUUCACCCACCCUCCAAAAGACGUUUGCGUUCCCACGCAUGUUCUCCGCCCUGAGAUAGCUUAGAACACAGCUCUACCAACGACUUUUCAUUUCCAUUAACCUAUUCCUGAUUCUUUGAUUCAAGGAACCUUGCCAUCCUUAGCUCUUUGGAUUAUUUAUGAGGUCUGAUUUAUAAUACAAAAUUAUACAGUGUACCAUAGUUAAAACCUUGAAGGAAAAAAUGCAUUUUGUAUUUCUUCUUCUUGGAGAGGCCCAAACACCCCUCCCCAGGGUUGGAAAGGAGAGUGGAGGUAGGGUAAUGGAACUCCCUCUCAGGCCUCUGAAUAUGGAGAAAUUAAGAAGAAUGGGAUGGGGUUGGGGGACAGAGGUAGUAAGCAAACAAAUGACUUAUUUUUAAUCUAGAGUUACCCAUUUGGAGAGAGAUACAGGGUUAUAUCCUAACGGUACCUUUUUAAAAAAUAAGUCAUAAGUAUGCUCAUGCCCUAACAAGUUAGUGAAUUUUUCCAGUAAAAUUAAAAUUAAAUAGAAAGCCAUGGUAAAUUACCCAUUUCAUUUCUCCUUCUAGAUUUAAAAAAAAAAAAAGAGGCACUUUGUCGCUUCUUACUGUGAGUGCACUUCAGCCUUAAUACAUGCAUUUAUGUCAAGGGGGCCAUUUACACUGUUGUCUGCUGGAGUUUUUCUUCUUUCAACUUAGUAGGGAAUAUUUGUAAUCUUUAUUACCCCAAAUAAAUC
rnacentral:lncRNA from 1 species